AAUGAAGAACCAAGAUCAGAGCAUUCAAAAUGGAGAAAAUGUAGUGUUUGAUAUUAUUGGGUUUGCUUUUGGGCAGUAGCAGCAGAAGCAGAAGCAGCAGGAUGCUAAUAAUGUGGGUGGGGGUUGUCUGAUGUUUGCUUGGUGGGAUAUGAAUGAAUGGGUAUAACUUUUAAGUGCCCAAAUGGCCACCUCAAUGUUAUGUCUUCAACUCAUUGAAGUUUGUUAAAUACAUAAACUCUUGUUUUUUCCCCCCAAUAUUUGAAAACACCGAGACAAACGAUUCAGUUUGUCAUAUUAAUUUAUUUGGUUAAAAAGUCGGGG
rnacentral:lncRNA from 1 species